UACAGAGGGUGCAAGCGUUGCUCGGAAUCAUUGGGCGUAAAGGGUAGGUAGGUGGUCUCAUUUGUCUGGGGUGAAAGCCUUGGGCUUAACCCAAGAAGUGCCCCAGAAACGGUGAGACUCGAGUGCUGGAGAGGGUCGUGGAAUUCCCGGUGUAGCGGUGAAAUGCGUAGAGAUCGGGAGGAACACCAGAGGCGAAGGCGGCGACCUGGACAGUAACUGACACUAAACUACGAAAGCGUGGGGAGCAAAC
rnacentral:rRNA from 1 species